rnacentral:rRNA from 1 species
AAAUUGAAGAGUUUGAUCAUGGCUCAGAUUGAACGCUGGCGGCAGGCCUAACACAUGCAAGUCGAACGGUAACAGGAAACAGCUUGCUGUUUCGCUGACGAGUGGCGGACGGGUGAGUAAUGUCUGGGAAACUGCCUGAUGGAGGGGGAUAACUACUGGAAACGGUAGCUAAUACCGCAUAAUGUCGCAAGACCAAAGAGGGGGACCUUCGGGCCUCUUGCCAUCGGAUGUGCCCAGAUGGGAUUAGCUAGUAGGUGGGGUAACGGCUCACCUAGGCGACGAUCCCUAGCUGGUCUGAGAGGAUGACCAGCCACACUGGAACUGAGACACGGUCCAGACUCCUACGGGAGGCAGCAGUGGGGAAUAUUGCACAAUGGGCGCAAGCCUGAUGCAGCCAUGCCGCGUGUAUGAAGAAGGCCUUCGGGUUGUAAAGUACUUUCAGCGGGGAGGAAGGGAGUAAAGUUAAUACCUUUGCUCAUUGACGUUACCCGCAGAAGAAGCACCGGCUAACUCCGUGCCAGCAGCCGCGGUAAUACGGAGGGUGCAAGCGUUAAUCGGAAUUACUGGGCGUAAAGCGCACGCAGGCGGUUUGUUAAGUCAGAUGUGAAAUCCCCGGGCUCAACCUGGGAACUGCAUCUGAUACUGGCAAGCUUGAGUCUCGUAGAGGGGGGUAGAAUUCCAGGUGUAGCGGUGAAAUGCGUAGAGAUCUGGAGGAAUACCGGUGGCGAAGGCGGCCCCCUGGACGAAGACUGACGCUCAGGUGCGAAAGCGUGGGGAGCAAACAGGAUUAGAUACCCUGGUAGUCCACGCCGUAAACGAUGUCGACUUGGAGGUUGUGCCCUUGAGGCGUGGCUUCCGGAGCUAACGCGUUAAGUCGACCGCCUGGGGAGUACGGCCGCAAGGUUAAAACUCAAAUGAAUUGACGGGGCCCGCACAAGCGGUGGAGCAUGUGGUUUAAUUCGAUGCAACGCGAAGAACCUUACCUGGUCUUGACAUCCACAGAACCUUGUAGAGAUACGAGGGUGCCUUCGGGAACUGUGAGACAGGUGCUGCAUGGCUGUCGUCAGCUCGUGUUGUGAAAUGUUGGGUUAAGUCCCGCAACGAGCGCAACCCUUAUCCUUUGUUGCCAGCGGUCCGGCCGGGAACUCAAAGGAGACUGCCAGUGAUAAACUGGAGGAAGGUGGGGAUGACGUCAAGUCAUCAUGGCCCUUACGACCAGGGCUACACACGUGCUACAAUGGCGCAUACAAAGAGAAGCGACCUCGCGAGAGCAAGCGGACCUCAUAAAGUGCGUCGUAGUCCGGAUUGGAGUCUGCAACUCGACUCCAUGAAGUCGGAAUCGCUAGUAAUCGUGGAUCAGAAUGCCACGGUGAAUACGUUCCCGGGCCUUGUACACACCGCCCGUCACACCAUGGGAGUGGGUUGCAAAAGAAGUAGGUAGCUUAACCUUCGGGAGGGCGCUUACCACUUUGUGAUUCAUGACUGGGGUGAAGUCGUAACAAGGUAACCGUAGGGGAACCUGCGGUUGGAUCACCUCCUUACCUUAAAGAAGC